UCCGAAGAUAUGUAACAACGUUCGUCUUAAUUUUGUAUUUUCGUAUUAUCCUCCUUCGUGCAGUUAUAUUUUUAUUUUUUAUUUAUUCAUUUAUUCAUUUAUUUAUUUAUUUAUUUAUUUAUUUAUUUAUUUAUUUAUUUAUGCUCUCAAGACGAUCCUACGUGUAUCGUGUCUCCUCGAGAUGAGGGAUAAUAGUUUUAUGAAAUAUACAUAUCUGCAACUAGUUUUACCUACAACUACUUCUUCAUAAUAAUUUCUACACACUGUCAGUUGUGCAACUCGCUAAUUAUCACGUAAUUAUUAUUACUAGGGUUCGAAGGGAAGUCCCCCGGGAAAUGGACAUGCCUCAGCGCAGCUACCUCGUCGUCGCUUCCUGAGGAUUACUGACAAACACACAUUUCUGAAGAAACGAUGGAAAUAUAUCAAACAACGAAAUCGGCCGCCGAUCGCUGUUUACCUCGAUCGUUCCUCUCCAUUUAUCGGCUGCGUGCCUUGCCAGUUCCAUUUUCUUCUGUUUUUUAGUUUGAUGCCUCUUGUACGCCAUCUCGAUAAUAAUCAAUCCAAUACCACCGAAGAUACCGACCGCGACCACUAUGAACACUCCCGCCAUAUUUUGCAAUCCGAGAGUGUUCGGAGUUUUUUCAAAUUGUUCGCAUUGUUGUAGAUUCCCUUGGAGUAUCCAAAGAUUAUCGAGACUUUCCAUAAAACCACCUAGAAACAAUCAAUGGAGUUUCAAAGUUUACAUUUGAUGGAUAUAUCAUACACCGUCGUUUCUUUCUUUCUUAUUCAGUUAAAAUUUCGCUUUUGAUAAAAUCAUAUUUCAUCUAUCUACUCUUAUACUUGAUGUCAUUGCGUUGCUAUUACUUUCAUGAAAGUCUAAAAUUGCCAGUGUCACGGCAUCCGCCCAGGGUGAACCUUUCUGCAGGCCAAUUCCGUAACCAGAACGACCAAAUAAUUCACCGGCAGUUACUAGCUCGCAAUCCUGAGCUGCCUCGAAUUCCAAACGACGUUCCAAUACAAGGAAGGCAGCCAGAUUAGCUGUAUAAGAUGCCACGAUGAUCAUAGCAAAUCCUGCCCAUACCAUACCCAAUACUCGUGCUGAAAAACUUCUCGGAGUACCUAAAUACAAUAAAAUGCAUAAUCAUCAAAAUCUUUUCUAAGUAAUCAUUUAUUUUUGAUCAACAUUUUUAUAUUUUUUUUUAUAUAUUAGAUUCGUCCAAUCCUAAUAUAUCAGUUACUGUAUUUAUCUAUGA